GAGGGGACAAGAAGGGACGAGAGGGGCCCUGGACUUGAUACACACAAAUGCGCAGACCAAGUAUCCCUGGCAGUUUCCAAAACGGAAGUCAAGGUGACUUUUUCACCCGCCGGAGGCGGAGCCCUAGAGAGGUAAUAGGAUCAGGCUUCAGGCCGGGCCGUGGCCCGGGGAAGGAGAAGCCGGGGUCAUCAACAGCCUGGGCCGCAGGAGCGCGCCGCGGUGGCCCAGGGUCCUGCUGACCCCUAGCUCUCCCUGCCCGGGGUGUGCUGGGCCCCAAUCGCGCCCGCUCCUCCUCGCCCGUCUCGGCUCAGCCCUGUCGACACCAACUCCCCUGCUGAGCCAAGUGGGAGUGUCCAGCCGGCAAAGUUUCUGCAGCAAGAUCCGGCCUCGGUCCCCGCACUGGCCGCAUGUGCUGCCCGGAGCACACUUGAACCUACAGUUAAACUUCCAAGGCACACUUAAAUUAUAUUGACCAAUAAACAGAGUAAAAGCAAAAAAGAAGAUACUUACUAUGCUUGGAACUUCUUUUGAAAAUCAUUUAAUUAAUGAUCUUAAUAAGAUCCUCUCGUUGUACACUGGUUGAAAAUCACCGGACUAGAGGAAUACACAGAAGAUCCCAUUAGUUGGCCAUAGUGACUGAUAAUGUGUAGGGUUGGGAGUAAGAGAGAUGUCCUGUAUGGCCUGUAGACCUGUAGUGUGUGAAAAGACACCUGAGCUGAGUAAUAGAAGAAGUGUGUUUUGUUUGGAGCUGUGCGUCUAUCUGUAAAGAGAGUGUAUGUGCAAGAUAAAAAUGAUGUUGUAGAAAUAAAGGAAGGACACAUUUCAAAAAGAGGUCCAGCAAAGCCCAGACUUGCAUGUCCCUGAGCAGAGGAGGAAGACCGGCAAAGAGUGAAAGAAUACAGACAAAAGCUGAAACGGAAUUGAUAGAAGAAAGCGUGGCAGGGAACAAAUCUAACGUUCAGGUGGAGGGACGGCCACAUCUGCUAAAGGAGGAUUUAAAAGGCUGGAAGUCCAUGGUCGAUGCAACAGAGUGAGACCCUGUCUCUAAAUAAAUACAUAAAUAAAGUGUAAGCUGGCUCGGAGCCCACCA